rnacentral:rRNA from 1 species
UACGUAGGGUGCGAGCGUUGUCCGGAAUUAUUGGGCGUAAAGGGCUCGUAGGCGGUUUGUCGCGUCGGGAGUGAAAUCCACUGGCUUAACUGGUGGCUUGCUUUCGAUACGGGCAGACUGGAGGUAUGCAGGGGAGAACGGAAUUCCUGGUGUAGCGGUGAAAUGCGCAGAUAUCAGGAGGAACACCGAUGGCAAGGAGGUC